rnacentral:lncRNA from 1 species
GCACCUUUAAAGUAAAACCGUUACUAAACAAAAAUUUUCAUGAAUUGAGGUAUCAAUGCCAUCUAUCUAAAACACACGUAAGCUACAAGAUAGACUUGUUUUUAUUGUAAAAUUUAAUGAUUUGCGCCAUCUAGCGGUAAAUCAAAGCGUUACUAAACCGAGUUAUGAUCGGCUCGCUAAAUACAAUAUUGUAUCUAUACCAAUAAGAACAUGAUCGUGGUAGAGUGAUGACCGAAGUUUAAAACAACAGUGUUAUUAUUUGGAUAAACACGGCUUGAAGUCACAAAAAGGUCAUGGCGCAUUUUCGAAACCCGCGUUUGUCACGCAUUUUAGAUGCUAUGGAAUCAAAAAAAAAAUCUGUAAACACUGAAGAAACCAAGCAAAUAUCCAUGGACGAUCUGGAUAAUAAUUUUACACGCGAUGCUAAUCCGAUUAUCUCCUUCUUUAUUGCAAGAGCAAACGCUACCAUCAUCUUCGGUCUUCGUUCUAUCGUUCCUCAAUAAUCGUUCGUCGCGAACACGUCAUCAUCAUCAUCAUCAGCCUAUCGCAGUCCACUGCUGGACAUAGGCCUCUCCAAGUGCACGCCACUGAGAUAGAUUUUCGGCUUCUCGCAUCCAGCUCCUGCCAGCCGUCUUGCGCUAGUCAUCACUCUACCGUGCCUGAGGACGUCCUACACUACGUUGGCCGAGGCGUUGUCUCCACUCUAGGACUCGUUUACCCCAACGGUUAUCGGUUCUUCGGCUAAUAUGGCCAGCCCACUGCCACUUCAGCUUGCUGAUUCGGUGGGCUAUGUCGAUGACCUUAAUUCUCUGACGGAUUACCUCAUUUCUGAUGCGAUCCGUCAGAAAUGCCGAGCAUAGCUCUUUCCAUAGCCCGCUGAGCGAUUUUAAACUUGUGGACCAGCCGUACCGUCAGUGUCCACGUUUCGGCUCCGUAAGUCAUGACAGGUAGGACGCACUGUGGGAUCGACGAUGUUAGGACUCGACGUAGCUUCCCAAAUGCAGCCCAUCCCAACUGAAUUUUCCUAUUCACCUCGUCCUCAAAGUCGUUUCUACCUAACUGCAAUGUCUGCUCGAGGUAUACAUAUUUCCGAACACCUUCGAGAAUGUUGACCAUGACCUUGGUUUUGUCCAAGUUCAUCCGUAGGCCGAUACGUAGAGAAGAUUCAGCCAGGUCGUUCAGCAUCUGUUGUAGGUCCUGCAGCGUUUCCGCCAUGAUGACGAUAUCGUCAGCAAAUCGCAAGUGAGAGAUGUGUUCGACAUUGAUGUUGAUGCCGCGUCCUUUCCAGUUCAGCGUCUUGAACAUAAUUAUCGUCCAUUGCAUUAGUGAACAGUUUCGGGGAAAUAACAUCCCCUUGUCUCACUCCUCGAUGCAUCGGUAUGGGCCUUGUUUGCUGAUUCUGUACUUGGACGGACAUUGUAGCGGCUUCGUAGAGACAUCUCAUCACUUGGAUGUAUCGAGGAGCAAGCCUUUAUACCAGUCAAGAUUAAAAUUAAGUGACAGAAAAAACAGCGAUUUAAAAAGCUUGAUAAAUAAUUAUUCCAAGUGAUUGUAUGGAUCUGUAUUUUGUCAUAAAACAUUAUUAGUUUCGAAAGUUUUUUAAUUAUUUAGUAAUAUUAUAACAUCGCAAUAAUGCAAAAUUUAUGAUUUUUAAUUUAAUUGUAUAAUAAUAUUAUUAAAUUAUGAAAUUUCAA